AUAAGGUGCGAUGAUUCUUAUCCACCUAAUCUGUAGAGUUCAAUAAUGAAUUAAAAUACAUGCACUAGCAUUUGAUCUUAU
rfam:Capsicum annuum cultivar Zunla-1 unplaced genomic scaffold scaffold3026, whole genome shotgun sequence